rnacentral:rRNA from 1 species
UGAGGAAUAUUGGUCAAUGGACGAGAGUCUGAACCAGCCAAGUAGCGUGCAGGAUGACGGCCCUAUGGGUUGUAAACUGCUUUUGUUUGGGAAUAAUCGACAUUACGUGUAAUGUUUUGCAUGUACCAUUCGAAUAAGGACCGGCUAAUUCCGUGCCAGCAGCCGCGGUAAUACGGAAGGUCCAGGCGUUAUCCGGAUUUAUUGGGUUUAAAGGGAGCGUAGGCCGUUUGGUAAGCGUGUUGUGAAAUGUAGGAGCUCAACUUCUAGAUUGCAGCGCGAACUGUCAGACUUGAGUGCGCACAACGUAGGCGGAAUUCAUGGUGUAGCGAUGAAAUGCUUAGAUAUCAUGAAGAACUCCGAUUGCGAAGGCAGCUUACGGGAGCGCAACUGACGCUGAAGCUCGAAGGUGCGGGUAUCGAACAGG